rnacentral:misc_RNA from 1 species
GCCUCAUUACCCAAACAGAAUAUAUGUCAAGGCAGCUAAAGAGGAGUUAUCAGCAAAUGAGGAAGGUUCUGAAAUUGAACUGCUGUAAUUGAGUAUUCUAGAAGAAGUUGUUGGAGAGAAUUACGGGUGAGGUAGCACGCAAGGAAGGGUAAUCAAAUGACAGCCAAGGAGCAUGUGCUGAGUAGUCUAUCAAAGCAUCUAGAAUAAUGAGGAAGGCAUGUUGAGUAAUUUCUCUUAUUUUCGGCAUUAUUGUUAGGCCAGGGAUUCUUCUCUGGAAAUUCUGAAAUUUGUAUUUCAGCAUUUUUUUUAUUGCCGUAUUGAGAGCCAGAGAGUAUAGUGAGAGAAUUGCUGUGUAAUUUCUUUACUGUAAUCUCUAGUACUUAAUAUAAAUUCACAUUUUGUUUUUCUUCCCAUUGGUUUACUCUCCUAACUCUAUCAAUUUCCCUUUGUAAUCAUAUUCACAUCGUUUGCUUCUAACCAUUUGUUACUUUGUUUCAUUCUUCUCGUUACUAUUUUUUGUUGCCUUCACUAUUAUUAUAUUUAUGUUUCUGUUGCUUAUUAAAUGAUGGUGAAAUUAAAGAACAGCAAUGGGCCAGCCACUUGAGCUUUGAAAAUUUGAAAAAAGUCAGUAAAAUGUAAUGCAUAGAUUUCUGCGUGAAUAGACGUGCAAAAAUACAGAAUUACAAUAAAAU